rnacentral:tRNA from 1 species
AAGUAAGAAACAAAUUAAUUGUAAUCAGUUUCGACCUGAUAAUAAGAUAUUUAUUUAUAAUAUCCUUUAUUU